CUGAACCAGCCAAGUAGCGUGAAGGAUGAAGGGUCCUACGGAUUGUAAACUUCUUUUACAAAGGAAUAAAGUCGGGUAUGCAUACCCGUUUGCAUGUACUUUAUGAAUAAGGAUCGGCUAACUCCGUGCCAGCAGCCGCGGUAAUACGGAGGAUCCGAGCGUUAUCCGGAUUUAUUGGGUUUAAAGGGAGCGUAGAUGGAUGUUUAAGUCAGUUGUGAAAGUUUGCGG
rnacentral:rRNA from 1 species